CCUGCCUGGACCCCCUCGGGCUGGCCCCCCUGCCUGGACCCCCGGGCUGGAGGGCUUGGGGCGGUGGGCUCUGUGGUCUGGAGGGGGCCGUCGGCAGGGGUAGGGCCACAGUGACACACCCCAUGAUUCCUGCUUUGUUUUCCCGACCUCUACUUGAUGUUUGCUCGUGCGUUUCAAAAGACCCACGGUGAUCGGAGGAAAGAAGAAGAAAAAAUAAUAGGAGGAGCUUCUGAGUAAAGUAAAAAUAACCGCAACACGUCUGUGUAGGUCUAGAGGAAAGGUUCCGGACAUUGCCUGUUACAAUCCUGGUCACGCGCGCGCGCGCACACACGCACGCACACACCCACACCCACACACACACACACACACUUCAGCUGGACUACUCACACAGGGGUUGGUGUGACUGCACGACAUUCGGAGGAUUCUGCAACCAAAGCUAAGCCACAAAAGGACACUAUCUCUGCUCUGAUGGAGGGCGAUGAAGCAAUCAGCAGACGACCCUGACGAGGAGCUGGGACCGGGAGCUCCGAGUCCCGUCUCAACAAGACCCCCACCGUGAGCUACAAUCCAUUAAAGAAGAUAAUCUAUGACCCACCAUGCAACCCGCUCCGCCGGACCGGCCUGCUGGCCCUCUGCUCCUGUGUGUAGGACGGUCUGGCCCUCUGCUCCUGUGUGUAGGGCGGUCUGGCCCUCUGCUCCUGUGUGUAGGACGGUCUGGCCCUCUGCUCCUGUGUGUAGGGCGGUCUGGCCCUCUGCUCCUGUGUGUAGGGCGGUCUGGCCCUCUGCUCCUGUGUGUAGGGCGGUCUGGCCCUCUGCUCCUGUUGUCUGGGUCGGCGGCUGGCCUCGAGGAGAUGCCCCCAGAGCCCGGUGAUGUGCUCGCUGGAAGCAGGGCCUGGUCAUGUUUAGAGUUUCAUCCAGGGUGGGUUUUGUUGGACGUUUGUUCCUUGCAGCUCAACCUAGCGCUGCGCUUCGGUCUCAUCGAGCCGUCGGCCGAAGUGAUUUGGUGACGUUUCAGUUUGUCGGUUUGACGUUACGAUUCCCGCCAUGUUGCUUUGAGUGAAUCUGUGCACUUACUGGAUACGAAGGCUUCCUAUCACGAUCUGGACAAACACAAGUAGUGACAGUUCAUUCAACACGAUGAUUUGUGAAACGUACUUGGUAAAAAAGAAAGAAGAAAAAGCACCCCACUCUGCCAUGAACCCCCUCACUUUUACUACUGUCUGUUGGACCAGUCCCUUCCCCCCCCCAUUCAAACAAUGAUCCGCUCAGCCCUAGCCCAGUAGCGGCCUGAGAGAGAGAGAGAGAGAGAGAGAGAGAGAGAGAGAGAGAGAGAGAGAGAGAGAGAGAGAGAGAGAGAGAGAGAGAGAGAGAGAGAGAGAGAGAGAGAGAGAGAGAGAGAGAGAGAGAGAGAGAGAGAGAGAGAGAGAGAGAGAGAGGUAGGAAGAGAGAGAGAGAGAGAGGAGAGAGAGAGGAGGGAGAGAGAGGAGGGAGGGAGAGAGGGGUGGGUUUCAGGACCCCCAUGUGUCCCCAUGACAACCUCUCAGAGCAUGGCUCCAGAUGUUCCUCACUCCGUUAGGAUGGACUGAGUGAGGUAUGAUCUGAUCUCUUCUGUCAGCCUCGUUUCAGCUGCUUCUGGCCGUAUUCAACAUAACGGUGAUUAUAUGGACCCCCCCUCUGGUUUUACUGAGUUUUGUUUGCUUGUCACUCUACAGCUAAAUAACUAUAUAUAUAUGUGUGUGUGUAUAUAUACAUUUAUAUAUAUACAUAUUUAUAUAUAUAUAUGCAUUGUUUUAUAUAUUGAAAUAAAAUGUACAGGACUACUUAGGUAUAUAAUAUUUCAGAUUUUGUUCUCUUUUGAUAUCUCUUGAAUAUUCUUAUUAACAGAAGAUGUAAGAUAUCCGUGCAUGAUGACGAAGAUGAUGAUGAUGAUGAUACUUUUCCCUCCCGUUAAAACUGUAAAUGUGCUCCUCUUUCCUUUGGUUGUUUUGCUCCUGGCAAAUAUUUCAGGGUUAUUUUGUCUUUUAUCGUUCCCCCCCUUAUGUGUUUGAAUGAUAUGCAGAACAGAUCGGCGAGUCCCUCUUUAUGAUUGGCCGGCGUGCGAAGCCCCCAGCUAGCCGCCGGCCCUACCAACGCAUACUGCUCUGAAUAAGAUUGUAAUAAUAAUAAUAGUUGUCUUUUCUUUUUUUGUAAAUGGUAUUUUAAAGGUUAUUUUUGUAUGUUGUUGGUUGUCACACUGUGCACCCCCCCGCCACUCCUCCCGACCCCUAGGCGUGCAUUACCCCUCACCCCCACCGCCACCCCCCGACCCCUAGGCGCAUUACCCCCACUCCUCCCCGACCCCUAGGCGUGCAUUACCCCUCACCCCCCACUUCUCCCCCGACCCCUAGGCGUGCAUUACCCCUCACCCCCACCGCCACUCCUCCCGACCCCUAGGCGUGCAUUACCCCUCACCCCCCACCGCCACUCCUCCCGACCCCUAGGCGUGCAUUACCCCUCACCCCUCACCCCUCACCCCCACUUCUCCCCGACCCCUAGGCGUGCAUUACCCCUCAUUAUCGCCGUCACCCUGCGGAGACUCACUCUCCUCUUCCACUUCGGUCGUCAUUCCGCUUUUUGUUUUGUUGUUUUAUCGGUCGGUCACCUCGGGUUACCAGAGUGGAGACACACCAACUCUGGAGAACCGGUUCCUGCAUCUGGGAGUUAGAACCGGACACCAGCCCUAGGGCUCUGUGGUUCAAUAUUAAUCUGUCUUCAAUCAAAGCCGUUGUUCUGCUUUAUUUAUCUAACCGUUGUGGUUAUUAGCCCCCCGUUGGUUUCUGUGCAUCGAUAUGUUGCCCUCUCCUGCUUCCUCUUGCCCUCUCUUCACUACUCUUGUCCUUAGGAAACGGUCCGCCUGUGCCUUUAAGAGAGAGAGCCCGCCCUCCCUCCCUUAUUCCUCCAAUCAUGUUUAUGAUUGGCAUGAGUGUGAGUGAUCUGAUUCGCUGCUGCUUCUCAUAGCCUCCUGCGGGACUCUCCAUCAGCCCCGGCUUCUCCUCAUUCUUUUUACACACACACACACACACACACACACACACACACACACACACACACACACACACACACACACACACACACACACACACAGCCAACGUGUUUGUAUGUAUGUUGCAGAAAUCAAUCAGUAAAAUGAACAAUGAUGAGUACAAAAAAAAAUCGUGUUACUUUUUAUUUUUGCUUAUUCUGUUGAAUAUGCAAGCUGAAUACCCUGAAUAUGUAUGACAUGAAUACCGUACACAAGAGUAGGGACGUUUAUCUGUUGAGGCCACUGCCAAACGACAAGAUAUAACUAUUUAUUUAGUGUCUUGACGGCGGAAAGUGUGGCACCAAGGAAGCUG
ensembl:lncRNA